rnacentral:rRNA from 1 species
UACGUAGGGACCAAGCGUUGUUCGGAUUACUGGGCGUAAAGGGCGCGUAGGCGGCAUGACAAGUCACUUGUGAAAUCUCCGGGCUUAACUCGGAACGGUCAAGUGAUACUGUCGCGCUAGAGUGCGGAAGGGGCAAUCAGAAUUCUUGGUGUAGCGGUGAAAUGCGUAGAUAUCAAGAGGAAUACCUGAGGUGAAGACGGGUUGCUAGGCCGACACUGACGCUGAAGCGCGAAAGCCAGGGGAGCAAACGGG